AACUGACGCUGAGGCACGAAAGCGUGGGUAGCAAACAGGAUUAGAUACCCUGGUAGUCCACGCUGUAAACGAUGAUUACUAGGUGUGGGGGGACUGACCCCUUCCGUGCCGGAGUUAACACAAUAAGUAAUCCACCUGGGGAGUACGGCCGCAAGGUUGAAACUCAAAGGAAUUGACGGGGGCCCGCACAAGCAGUGGAGUAUGUGGUUUAAUUCGAAGCAACGCGAAGAACCUUACCAGGUCUUGACAUCCAACUAACGAGAUAGAGAUAUGUCAGGUGCCCUUCGGGGAAAGUUGAGACAGGUGGUGCAUGGUUGUCGUCAGCUCGUGUCGUGAGAUGUUGGGUUAAGUCCCGCAACGAGCGCAACCCUUGCUAUUAGUUGCUACGCAAGAGCACUCUAAUAGGACUGCCGUUGACAAAACGGAGGAAGGUGGGGACGACGUCAAAUCAUCAUGCCCCUUAUGACCUGGGCUACACACGUACUACAAUGGCCAUCAACAGAGGGAAGCAAAACAGCGAUGUGGAGCAAACCCCUAAAAAUGGUCUCAGUUCAGAUUGCAGGCUGCAACCCGCCUGCAUGAAGUCGGAAUGCUAGUAAUC
rnacentral:rRNA from 1 species